CGAAUGUUGUUAGGAGUCCCGAUAAGAUCACGGACAUCACGAGGGUUUCCGGAAUGGUCCGAAAACGAAGAUUGAUGUAUAGGAUGGUUUCAUUUGGUCACCGGAAAGUUUCGGGCAUUUCCGGGAGUGACGAAUUGGUUCCGGGUAUUCACCGGGAGGGGCCCACCCACCCGGGAGUGAGCCCAGUGACCCUAGGAUGGCGCCCAAGCCCUUGUGGGAUGGUAAGGCCGGCUCAAUAGGGCUAUGGCGCCACAAGUGAAAAAACAC
rnacentral:lncRNA from 1 species